rfam:Sus scrofa isolate TJ Tabasco breed Duroc chromosome 1, whole genome shotgun sequence.
AUGCUUACCUGGCAGGGGAGACACCAUGAUCUUGAAGGUGGUUUUCCAAGGGCGAGGCUCAUCCUUUGCACUCCAGAUGUGCUGACAUUGCCCUACAUAUGAGAAACUCGACUGCCUAAUCUACAGUAGUGGGGAACUGGGUUCACACUUUCCUCUG